rnacentral:rRNA from 1 species
GAUGAACGCUGGCGGCGUGCCUAAUACAUGCAAGUCGAGCGAACAGAUGAGGAGCUUGCUCCUCUGACGUUAGCGGCGGACGGGUGAGUAACACGUGGAUAACCUACCUAUAAGACUGGGAUAACUUCGGGAAACCGGAGCUAAUACCGGAUAAUAUAUUGAACCGCAUGGUUCAAUAGUGAAAGACGGUUUUGCUGUCACUUAUAGAUGGAUCCGCGCCGCAUUAGCUAGUUGGUAAGGUAACGGCUUACCAAGGCAACGAUGCGUAGCCGACCUGAGAGGGUGGUCGGCCACACUGGAACUGAGACACGGUCCGGACUCCUACGGGAGGCAGCAGUAGGGAAUCGGCCGCAAUGGCGGAAAGCCUGACGGAGCAACGCCGCGUGAGGGAUGAAGGUCUUCGGAUCGUAAAACUCUGUUAUUAGGGAAGAACAAAUGUGUAAGUAACUAUGCACGUCUUGACGGUACCUAAUCAGAAAGCCACGGCUAACUACG